GAGGUCUUAGCUUAAUAAAAGUGUCUGAGUUGCAGUCAGAUGAUGUAGGCUAGAGUCUUACAGGUCUU
rnacentral:tRNA from 1 species